AUAACCUCUAACAACCCAACUCAGAAAAAAUGGGUGCAUAACCAUUAUACAUGCAGGGUAGAAACAAGCCGGGAAACCAGAAAAAUCACUCAGUUCAUUCAGUCGACCUGCUCAUGUUGUAAAAAAAUAAAAAAAUGGUACUAUCUAUGAAAUGUUUAAUAGGCCAGAUUCAAUGGUUGGUCAAAAAUGUCACAUUUGCUGUUGUAUAAAGUUGGGACCUGCACAUUGGCUUAACCUACAACAAUGAGACCAAUUGUGUCAACAAGUUUGAUAGGCCUACUGAUAAUUCAAUAAAAUAUGGCGUAUAAACCCAAGACAACCUCUCCAAUUCUACCUACAUCUUUGGUUAUCGUUCUGAUUGAUGGACCCCCAGCCACAGAAAUGACAAAUCAUACCUUAUAAAUAAAAACACUAAACCAGUUAUGCCACCAUUAAUACGCGUUUAAUUAAUUGCCUCUCUGUUUUAAUGCCAUAGGGCGUACACGUCUUUGUCAUGGAAUGCUUCCAGAAGUAUGGCAAGAUAUAGGGAUUCUACGAUGGCCGGCAGCCUGUGAUGGGUUUGAUGGACACGGCUAUGAUCAACUCCUUGAUCACCUCCUCUAAAAUGCCGUGGAGUUCUCUUUGCUUCACCAUGACCAAGACUGAGCACACCCUAGAGGUGAACCCCCUGCGCUCCAUGAGCUUCACUGGGUGACUCCGAUGGGAGGGAUCCGCUGUAGUCUGACUCUUUGUGGAUGCGUCUGCUGAGUCCACGUCAUCCUCUAGGUCACUGUUCUAGACACAAGGCAAACGAGCGUGUGUUCUGGAGGGUUCCUGAAGCACCUCUCGAACACAGGUAAACAAACCCUUAUAUUUGGAGUAGGCGGAACGAUAAAUAAGCUACGCCUGCACGUUCUAAUUUACCCAGACUGAGCACACCCUAGAGGUGAACCCCCUGCGCUCCAUGAGCUUCACUGGGUGGCUCUGAUGGGAGGGAUUCGCUGUAGUCUGAGUGUUUGCGGAUGUGUCCGUUGAGUCCACGUCAUCCUCUAGGUCACUGUUCUGUGAGUAAUCAUACAAAAAAUGGGCGCAGCUUCAGGGUUGGGGAAUAUAAAUGACAUCUUCAAGUCACAACUCAAAACUCACCUGUUCAAACUCGC
ensembl:lncRNA